GACAGAGGGUGCAAACGUUGUUCGGAUUUACUGGGCAUAAAGCGUGUGUAGGCGGCUUCGCAAGUUGGAUGUGAAAUCCCACGGCUCAACCGUGGACGUGCAUCCAAAACUGCGUCGCUAGAGUCUCGGAGAGGAAGGUGGAAUGCUUGGUGUAGAGGUGAAAUUCGUAGAUAUCAAGCAGAACACCUGCGGCGAAGGCGGCCUUCUGGACGAUGACUGACGCUGAGACACGAAAGCGUGGGGAGCAAACAGG
rnacentral:rRNA from 1 species